UGGUUUUGUGAGUAUAUUAAUAUGGCAAAUUUCAAACAUAUAGUAUCCUUAUUUGAGUGUAAUGGCGUUUUAUAUCAAAUAGUGCUAUAAUCUAGGACAUUUAUUUUGCUGCGCCACAUAUCAUCAAGGGGCGUUAAAAUCAUAUUGUGCAUCUGAAUCAAGGAAAUCAAAUAUUCCCCCUUAACUUCCUCUAAUGCCUUAAAGGGAAGGACUUCCUCUUUUGCUAUAAAAGGCACCACGUUCAUACAUAGAAGGACAGAGAGAAAAAAGAACACUUGAUAUAUAAGUAAAAAGCAACUCAAAGAGGGAGAACUAAGGCAAUAAAACAAAGGAUAGGAAAUACGAGUAACAUAACAGUAAGUAGCACACGAUCAGUACUGAUACAAAUAAAGAACAAAAUAUAUAUACAUCUAGAAAGGGACAAGGGAUACUUCAGCUCUCAACCGGUUGCACAACAUUGGUAUGUAGGAGACAUGCAAGUAUAAGGCAAGCAAUAGCAGUAUCUGAAAAUCCAGGUUAGUACUUGUUACUGCAUCCUUAAGAAUCCUCAUAUAACAUCAUUCCAAUUGUUAAGAAAGAUUCAAUAAAAUCACAUCCAUAAGCAUGUUUUGCUAUUUGUAACAUAGAUACUCAUAUCAUAAACAACUUCGGCACUUAGUAAUCACAAGCAUGCUAGAACUAAAAAAUCUAAAAAAAAAUCAAAAAACAUAUUCAUAAACAGCCACCCCAUAUGUCCAUAAACAUUCUUUUCUAUCCUCUAAAAAACAAAGACAUCUAACUAUCUUAACCAACAAUGUAUUUUUUUUUUAAAUUAGUAAAAGAACCAAAAACAAUACUCUGCAAGUUUGCUAUUCUUAUAUUCAACAAAUAAAAGAAAACUACAAUCUUAAUUUACACCACAGCGGGGCUUUGUGAAGUUGAUCUUUUUUAACCCGGUUUCUAUUGCGUUAAAACUCAUCACACCCAAACGAAUCAAUGGCUGAUCCAAACCAGAAUGGAUAAGGGAAGGCCAUACGUACCCUCCAUAAUCAGUGAUGGGGGAAGCCAUAAGCUUCACCGAAAACGCGCAUGGGACCAUUUCGGUCUCACGAAGAAGAAGGAUGGUCGAGUCUUACCUAUGUUUAAGAGAUGUGGUAGGAGGUUGGUGAAGUACUGAGGGAUUUUCCGGUGUGACGAUCGAAGAAGAAGAAGUUGGUUCUACUCUAACGGCCCCUUGCUGCAAGACGCGACUACUACUAUGACGAUCAAAGCCUCGCCCUUCGUCUUGGCUUCUGACGGCAGCACUGAUGCCUUCGUCCAUUAGAACUCACUGUCAAGGUCUUCAUGGAGGUGGGUGCUCCAAACUUAGAACCCUUCCUCCUCAAUCCCCCUAAUCCCUAACCUAAGGAAAUGGAAUCCGUAUUCAAUAAAAAUGAGAAUGCCAACUUUACUAAGCCUUUUCUUUUUU
rnacentral:lncRNA from 1 species